GAUGAACGCUGGCGGCGUGCCUAAUACAUGCAAGUCGAGCGAACAGACGAGGAGCUUGCUCCUCUGACGUUAGCGGCGGACGGAUGAGUAACACGUGGAUAACCUACCUAUAAGACUGGGAUAACUUCGGGAAACCGGAGCUAAUACCGGAUAAUAUAUUGAACCGCAUGGUUCAAUAGUGAAAGACGGUUUUGCUGUCACUUAUAGAUGGAUCCGCGCCGCAUUAGCUAGUUGGUAAGGUAACGGCUUACCAAGGCAACGAUGCGUAGCCGACCUGAGAGGGUGAUCGGCCACACUGGAACUGAGACACGGUCCAGACUCCUACGGGAGGCAGCAGUAGGGAAUUUUCCGCAAUGGGCGAAAGCCUGACGGAGCAACGCCGCGUGAGUGAUGAAGGUCUUCGGAUCGUAAAACUCUGUUAUUAGGGAAGAACAAAUGUGUAAGUAACUAUGCACGUCUUGACGGUACCUAAUCAGAAAGCCACGGCUAACUACGUG
rnacentral:rRNA from 1 species